rnacentral:siRNA from 1 species
UGCAAAAAUGCAAAAUGUGUC